GCUCAUUUAGAACGUCUCUCCAAGAGAAUAAUUUAGCCUUUCAGAUACUAUAACCCAAACAGUUCAUCUCAUUCACUCCUUUUGAGUGCUGCCCCAACGAGCCCUCUCCUCCUCGCAUUCCUCUGCUCCCCAUCGUGGGCGCAGCAGCUGCUGUUAUUCCUUAGGAUACACAUGGCUCGCCCAUGCUGGGAGAGC